rnacentral:rRNA from 1 species
AUUGAACGCUGGCGGCAGGCUUAACACAUGCAAGUCGAGCGGGGAAAGGUAGCUUGCUACCUGACCUAGCGGCGGACGGGUGAGUAAUGCUUAGGAAUCUGCCUAUUAGUGGGGGACAACAUUCCGAAAGGAAUGCUAAUACCGCAUACGCCCUACGGGGGAAAGCAGGGGAUCUUCGGACCUUGCGCUAAUAGAUGAGCCUAAGUCAGAUUAGCUAGUUGGUGGGGUAAAGGCCUACCAAGGCGACGAUCUGUAGCGGGUCUGAGAGGAUGAUCCGCCACACUGGGACUGAGACACGGCCCAGACUCCUACGGGAGGCAGCAGUGGGGAAUAUUGGACAAUGGGCGAAAGCCUGAUCCAGCCAUGCCGCGUGUGUGAAGAAGGCCUUUUGGUUGUAAAGCACUUUAAGCGAGGAGGAGGCUACUUAGAUUAAUACUCUAGGAUAGUGGACGUUACUCGCAGAAUAAGCACCGGCUAACUCUGUGCCAGCAGCCGCGGUAAUACAGAGGGUGCGAGCGUUAAUCGGAUUUACUGGGCGUAAAGCGUGCGUAGGCGGCUUUUUAAGUCGGAUGUGAAAUCCCUGAGCUUAACUUAGGAAUUGCAUUCGAUACUGGGAAGCUAGAGUAUGGGAGAGGAUGGUAGAAUUCCAGGUGUAGCGGUGAAAUGCGUAGAGAUCUGGAGGAAUACCGAUGGCGAAGGCAGCCAUCUGGCCUAAUACUGACGCUGAGGUACGAAAGCAUGGGGAGCAAACAGG